UUUUAAUAUAUAUUUUAAAAUGGUUGUCACCACAACUGUAAAUCCUGUUAUUUAGGCCGGAAGGCCUAACAAAGCCUACCCAGAGUAGGGAGGGUUUUGGAGAUAUCAGUUUGUGGCAAGGAGAUAAAGGCAAACUGAGGCAAGAGAUGAGUGGUGAGGUUGGCAAAUAUUCAGUGUGCUCCACUGUCGUGCCACACAAUUCCCCACGUGUUGCUGUGAAGUGUAUCCAUCUCAGCAUUGUCAAGUUCCUCCUCUGGGGGCUAUUUAAUGCAGCUGGAGUGACAGGCAAGAUCAAAAUACUGCAGGAAUGCUUUCCCAGUGGAUGGUGCUUGCUUUCCCGUGCUAAUCCUUGCCUUCAUGGUCUUCUCUGAAGCCCCUGGGGUCAUGGUGGUGUCCAGCUUCUGCUGGGAGCUUUGGGACCACACGUUGUUCUUUGGCACCUCUGCCAGAGGGGGUGCCCAUAGUGCCACUGCCCAGCUCUGAAAACAAGCUCAAAUUUCUUGCUUGGAGAACACAACUCCUUCAGAAAUAGACUUCAAGGUCUGAGUUUCAUUUGGGAAAAAAUGCAGAUGUGCUACACCAGAAAGACUGCUCCAGCAGCAGAACUUCCCCUCCAGCUCCCUCAGCUUCUUUUGACAGGCCCUUGAUGCAUUCACAUGCCUCCGAGAAAUGGAUAGACUACUGCACUGACCACUGACCAUAAACUGUUACAGUGACCAUUGCAAAUGCAACUGUAGGAAUAAAACCAUAGCGAUAUAAACUGGACACAGACCUCUUCUCCAGGCAGCCACGUACUCAUGUGUUUGAAUCACGGGGAUAUUACCAACGCAUAAUCUCAGUGUUCCAAUUCUUUUGUGAUCCAGUCUUAAUGGCAGGACAACAAGCCUGGUUCCCUACAUUUUUUGAGAAAAUAAUUUUUGAGAAAAACAUCUCUUUUGUUUAUCCAUUGCAAGUCUAGGAAAAGGGCACUCCAUCUAUAAUUUUGCCUCAAGUCCAACAGAAGAAAACCUGUUGCCAGGUAAGUAAAACCAGUGUGGAAAUAUUUACUCUUGCCCAUUACUAGGACACGGGUUGCUUUGUGCUGUUCUGGGAACAGAUGUGAGAUGUCCUCCUUGGCUCUUGAAGUAAGCAAAGAACUUUGAUUUGCCGCCAAGGAGGUUAGCUCUGACUUAUUACUUCCAAAGGCUCCUUACCCUGCAAUGCCUUUACCCUUCUUUAGCUGAUGGAUGUGUCUGUCUUCCUACACAGUUUUUUGAUUAAAUUGUUGUAAUUUAGCUAUCAUUUCAGAGGUGAGAGAGACUAUAAUGUUCUCCUCUCUCUUCCCCUAAACCCUUGCUUUCUAUUGCAAGCCACUGCAUUACAUCUGUGGAUCCCAAACAUUUUACAGUGGAAGGCCAGAGUCAUCAGACCUGGUAGGUCAAAGCUUUGCCCAAGUUUACAACGCAGCAGUUCGGGGGAGAAGCCUCUAAAAUGAGGAUGCAAGGAAACAGUCUCACGUUGUGCCAGAGAACGUUCCAAUUGAAUAUUACUAAGAAUUUCUUCACAGAGAGGGUGUGCAAGCCUUGGAAGGGACUGUCCAGAGAAGUGAUGGAGUCUCAGUCCCUAGAGGUAUUCAAGAGAUUUAUAGACACGGCAUCAAGGGAUGGGCUGGUGAUGGGACUUGGUAGGUCAGGCUGACGAUCAGAAUUUGAAGGUCCUUUCCAUCUUAGAUGAUUCUGUAACAAACAUGUUUUCUAAGUACUCUUCCAAUUAUUUAUCCAUUCA
ensembl:lncRNA